rnacentral:lncRNA from 1 species
UAAUAUCUGAAGAUGUGUUGAACUUUAACACAUGUUAUCUUACUCUUUUUUGAUGGUUUUGCAAAGAGAUAAAAGGAAACAUUGGGAGGUUUGUGUAUGUCUGUUACCUUGACUGUGGUAAUGAUAUCAUGGGUGUUUACAUAUGUUCAAACUCAUCAAAUUGUACACAUUGAUAGGUUUGGUUCCUUGUGUACCAAUUAUACUCCUGUAGAUUCUGGGUACCAAUUUCUCAUGGCCCUCCUGUUUGCCUAUUUGGAACACAUCAGGAUGCCAUAGCAUAUGAUUUAUAAAGCUCUUACCUUGAGCAUUUUCUAGACUCGCAUUGUGGACAUGAAUUCUGUUCAUGAAAAAAUAAAAUAAAAUAAAACUUAUAGGCUGUUUUAUACCUUAUUUGGACCUAAAAACUUACAAUAAAUUUAAUUCACUCUAUAUUAGUAGUUGUUUUGAUUAAUACCCAUAUGCCUG